rnacentral:lncRNA from 1 species
GCCAUAACUAUUCUUUAUCCUCCAUCCGAGUGAUCUCAAUCUAACUAUAGCAUUACCACAACCAUCAUCACUGUCACCAUGCUACCUCCAUGAUCUCUACCACUGCCACCCUCUUCACCUCCAUGACAUGCAGCAUGGGUUCAAGUUGUGGAUCUUUCUCGCUUCAAUCGGCAUGUGAAUGUCUUUGGCUAGAGGGCAGCUUGCAAAAAUCUGCUAGAAUGGCCAAUGU